UAUACUUGUCUACUUUCACAAGA
rnacentral:siRNA from 1 species